rnacentral:tRNA from 2 species
GAAAUAUGAAAUUUUUCAAAAUAAAGCUUCUAACUUUAAUUUUUAACGAUUAAAAUUCGUUUAUAUUUCU